rnacentral:misc_RNA from 1 species
GAUGAAAGAACGCAGCGAAAUGCGAUAAGUAAUGUGAAUUGCAGAAUUCAGUGAAUCAUCGAAUCUUUGAACGCACAUUGCGCCCGCCAGUAUUCUGGCGGGCAUGCCUGUCCGAGCGUCAUUUCAACCCUCGAACCCCUCCGGGGGGUCGGCGUUGGGGACCUCGGGAGCCCCUAAGACGGGAUCCCGGCCCCGAAAUACAGUGGCGGUCUCGCCGCAGCCUCUCCUGCGCAGUAGUUUGCACAACUCGCACCGGGAGCGCGGCGCGUCCACGUCCGUAAAACACCCAACUUCUGAAAUGUUGACCUCGGAUCAGGUAGGAAUACCCGCUGAACUUAAGCAUAUCAAUAAGCGGAGGA